UACGUAGGGUGCAAGCGUUAAUCGGAAUUACUGGGCGUAAAGCGCACGUAGGUGGCGACGUAAGUCGGGUGUGAAAGCCCCGGGCUCAACCUGGGAAUUGCAUCCGAUACUGAUUGGCUAGAGUAUGAGAGAGGGAGGUAGAAUUCCACGUGUAGCGGUGAAAUGCGUAGAUAUGUGGAGGAAUACCGGUGGCGAAGGCGGCCUCCUGGCUUAAUACUGACGCUGAGGUGCGAAAGCGUGGGGAUCAAACAGG
rnacentral:rRNA from 1 species